rnacentral:rRNA from 1 species
UAAGACGUAGGGGGCGAGCGUUGUCCGGAUUUAUUGGGCGUAAAGCGCGCGCAGGCGGCUCGCUAAGUCGGAUGUGAAAACCCGAGGCUCAACCUCGGGCCUGCAUUCGAUACUGGCGAGCUCGAGGCAGGUAGGGGAGAUCGGAAUUCCCGGUGUAGCGGUGAAAUGCGCAGAUAUCGGGAGGAACACCGGUGGCGAAGGCGGAUCUCUGGGCCUGUCCUGACGCUCAGGCGCGAAAGCUGGGGGAGCGAACAGGAUUAGAUACCCUGGUAGUCCCAGCCGUAAACGUUGGGUGCUAGGUGUGGGAGGCAUCAACCCCUUCCGUGCCGUCGCCAACGCAUUAAGCACCCCGCCUGGGGAGUACGGCCGCAAGGCUA